rnacentral:rRNA from 1 species
AUGGUUUAUGCCAUGAUAAGUAUAGGUGUUCUUGGAUUUCUAGUUUGGGCUCAUCAUAUGUUUACUGUGGGCUUAGACGUUGAUACGCGUGCCUACUUCACCGCAGCUACCAUGAUCAUAGUUGUGCCCACAGGAAUCAAAAUCUUUAGUUGGAUCGCUACCAUGUGGGGAGGUUCGAUACAAUACAAAACACCCAUGUUAUUUGCUGUAGGGUUCAUCUUUUUGUUCACCAUAGGAGGGCUCACUGGAAUAGUUCUAGCAAACUCUGGGCUAGACAUUGCUCUACAUGAUACUUAUUAUGUGGUUGCACAUUUCCAUUAUGUACUUUCUAUGGGAGACGUUUUUGCUUUAUUUGCUGGAUUUUACUAUUGGGUGGGUAAAAUCUUUGGUCGGACAUAUCCUGAAACUUUAGGCCAAAUCCAUUUUUGGAUCACUUUUUUCGGGGUUAAUCUGACCUUCUUUCCCAUGCAUUUCUUAGGGCUUUCGGGUAUGCCACGUCGCAUUCUAGAUUAUCCAGAUGCUUACGCUGGAUGGAAUGCUCUGAGUAGUUUCGGUUCUUAUAUAUCCGUAGUUGGGAUUCGUCGUUUCUUCGUAGUUGUCGCAAUCACUUCAAGCGGUGGAAAGAACCAAAAAUGUGCGGAAAGUCCUUGGGCUGUUGAACAGAAUCCAACCACACUAGAAUGGUUGGUACAAAGCCCUCCGGCCUUUCAUAUUUUUGGAGAACUUCCUGAGGUAAAAGAGACAAAAAGCUAA